rnacentral:rRNA from 1 species
UACGUAGGGUGCGAGCGUUAAUCGGAAUUACUGGGCGUAAAGAGCUCGUAGGUGGUUUGUCGCGUUGUUCGUGAAAUCUCACGGCUUAACUGUGAGCGUGCGGGCGAUACGGGCAGACUUGAGUACUGCAGGGGAGACUGGAAUUCCUGGUGUAGCGGUGGAAUGCGCAGAUAUCAGGAGGAACACCGGUGGCGAAGGCGGGUCUCUGGGCAGUAACUGACGCUGAGGAGCGAAAGCGUGGGGAGCGAACAGG